rnacentral:rRNA from 1 species
UGGGGAAUAUUGCACAAUGGAGGGAACUCUGAUGCAGCGACGCCGCGUGAGUGAUGAAGGAAUUCGUUUCGUAAAACUCUGUUCUAUGGGAAGAAAAGGACUGUACCAUAGGAGAAAGCUCCGGCUAAAUACGUGCCAGCAGCCGCGGUAAUACGUAUGGAGCGAGCGUUGUCCGGAAUUAUUGGGCGUAAAGGGUGCGCAGGCGGCUUUACAAGUUGGAUGUGAAAUAUCGUGGCUCAACCACAAACGUGCAUCCAAAACUGCAAAGCUUGAGUUAAGGAGGGGUAAGUGGAAUUCCUGGUGUAGCGGUGGAAUGCGUAGAUAUCAGGAGGAAUACCGGUGGCGAAGGCGACUUACUGGACUUAAACUGACGCUCAGGCACGAAAGCGUGGGGAGCAAACAGG